rnacentral:rRNA from 1 species
GUCUACAGCCAUGCCACCCUGAACACACCUGAUUCCGUCUGAUCUAGGAAGCUAAACAGGGUCAGGCCUGGUUAGUACUUGGAUGGGAGACCAAAUAGGAAGACCGGGUGCUGUAAGCG